UACGUAGGGUGCAAGCGUUGUCCGGAAUUAUUGGGCGUAAAGAGCUUGUAGGCGGUUUGUCGCGUCUGCUGUGAAAUUUCGGGGCUCAACCCCGAACUUGCAGUGGGUACGGGCAGACUAGAGUGUGGUAGGGGAGACUGGAAUUCCUGGUGUAGCGGUGAAAUGCGCAGAUAUCAGGAGGAACACCGGUGGCGAAAGCGGCUUACUGGAUCUUCUCUGACGCUGAGGCACGAAAGCUAGGGUAGCAAACGGG
rnacentral:rRNA from 1 species